CGUUAUCUUGUUUACAUGAUGAUCCUUUGGACCAUGCAUAACCCCGCUGUAGAGAGACGAAUGGGAACCCUAAUCCCAAUUCGUUCCCGACUCCAGGCUCGGCCAAUUCCGGAUCCAGGCGCAUUGCCUGAGAUCUGGAUUCUUGAGUACGUAAUCCUGGCGUUUUUCUUGAAUCUUGGAAAUUGGUAACAGGAUGAAGCUAUGGAACCACAUGAAUGCAGAUAUUGUCAAUUCCACUUAGAUGAUUUAAUGCACAGUUAAAAUUAUUCUUAGUGUUCCCAUCAAUGGUUCCUUUUGAAAUAUGAAAUGUGCCUAACACCAAGAGAAAUGUCAGCUUAUGACUAUCCUACAACUUUUUCAUGUUCUAUCUUAUAUUGUUAUGUUUUCAUGGCCAAUUGCAUUACAAAAUUAUCAACUAGUUCAAUGUUAGUGUUACAAGUAAUCUUGACAUAAAAACCGAGCUCUCUAGUCAAGUUAUUCUUUGAUAUACUAGAUAAUACAAUCUCCAAUGCAAUAGAUACAACGGGAUAGAAGAAUGAGUUGCAUGUGUCCUCAUCUGUACGUUAACAUCAGCGAGUUCAAGUUGUGCUAAACAUAAGUUUUCCUAUGCAUUUACUAGGCACUGAAACACAAUUUUCGUGGAGUCAAUUAUACAGAAAUUAUUAAAUUAUCUGAUUAAUGUUGUGGGGUCAUAAUUAUUGAUGGAUUUUGUUUGCAUUGUGAAGAUACUAAUCUAUAUUUCAUCACCAUUGGUUUACAUCAAACAUCGACCUUAAAUCAUUAUCUUUUCAAACUUAUAUCAAGGAUUUAAAUCUUGGUCCAACAUCAGUUUCAAUAAUCUACCAGACAGGUAUGGUACCUGUACACUGGUAUCACCAGUGAAAAAAAUUCAAAAGCGACUAACCAGUAUCAGAUCAUAUGGCCGGAUAUCAUAAUACCAGUCGAUACGCAUCUACUGUUCGAAUUUGAUACCAUUCUUAUGAUAAAUGAACUUACAAGACUAUAAAUAAUACUGACAAUCAUUAGAAACCAAUAGAACUAGACUAAGUGGGACUAAGACUGAUCGUUGACUUCAACUUGGCAAUAAUAAGUGAAGAUUAGAGGAUUUAGUUGAAAUUAUUGGACCAAAGAUUCCUAGAAAUAGAAUAUUGGGAUUCUUAAAUCUUCUAGAAAAAGGGAAGAUUGAUGAAGUUAUUUGCUCACAGAAUUGAAGCAGGAUGAUGAAAAUGUCAAGAGUUUUCAUGAUUGUGGUAUCUCUUAGGUCAAAGGUAAAAAGUUUACAUGAUUAUUAUAUUACAAGGAAGACUAUGAUUUAUGGUCCUAAAGUGUUGGGUAGUUAGAAAACAUGUUCAAUAAUUUAGUGUUGUGAAGAGAAGAAUGCUAAGUUGAAUUGGUGGAGUUACUAUGAAAGAUAGAAUCAAAUACUGGCACUCGUACAUUAACCAUAACUUGUGUGAGAAGCCUUAUGCAUUGGGCUUUCCUGAUCAGUUAUAAAAUAAGGAAGAACUGUCUGAAAUGUAAUAUAUCCAGGAGACCCACAUAUAAGGAUUGUAUAAGGUGAAUCAAUUGUUAUUAGUAGUGUGCACCGUGCAGAAAGGUACCAGAAGACCUAAAAGGCUAAAACAACUUAUUAGAAGCAACAAAAAUGAUUCGAUUGUUGUUGUUUCGACCAGUGAUAUAGCUCUUUAUAAAGCUAAAUGCCAGAAAAAUUUCCAUGUAGCUAACUGCACUGAUUGGAACAUUACAGUUGUUAUUUUUAUGCCAAUUUACGGAACAGCAUAUUAGAUUAUAAAUGAUUUUCCCUGGUUUUUUCAUUAGAGUUGACAGUUUGAAAUUCUUUGUGGGACUGAUACAUCGCUGAAAUUACCAAAGGACCCAAAGUUCUCAGUAAAUACAUGUCCUAAACUACUGUUGAAGUUCAGGAACCUCUUUACAUAUAGGCUUAGAACUUUUACCUGGUCUGAAAAUUUAGCUUGCCAAUAAAAUAGGCAAAAAGGGUAGCGUAUAUGAAAGGAAAGGCAAGAAGAACUCCAGCAACAACUCCAAAAAGAUUAUGGUGAAAGCCAAAAUAGUCUUUUAGGAAGGAAGCUAUUGACUUGGUUUCACCAAACACCAUCAUCUCCUUCUGUACAUCUCCAUAUUGUGAGCUAAAUAGGCCAUUUAAUGUCCAGGACAUUGGAUUCAGGUAAUAUAACCAAAUCCACCACUUUGGAAUUUGCUGCAAUGAAGCAAAUAUUAGUUUAUUUCAUAUAGUAAUAAGCUACAGGUAUGUUUGUUCUAGGACACUUUAACCUAUUUUACCAAGCUUCCAGGUAUAUGCGUUUAAAUAUUAAGAUGUUUGCCGAUACCAAAAAUUCAUGUGAAUUAACUUUUGGUUUAUCAGUUCAUAGGAUGCUAUGCUGUGGUAUAUUUGUUGUCUGCAUAUGUAGCAAUUUGAAAUAUCCAAAUGUUUAGAGAUGAAUUUGAAGGAUGAGAGUGAAUGGUACUUACAGGACCUGGCACAAUGAAGCCUGAAAAGAGAUUAAACAAGGUGUAACAAACAGAAGCCAUUAUUGAAGCCACUUGAACAUUUGGAGUCAAUGAAACCAGCAGCAUUCCGAGAAUACUAUUCCGAAGAUUAUGGAUGCAACAAGGAUGAAAAAUAUCCGCACCAUGUUAUAUGAAGGACUUCUCCAGUAAGACAAGGAUUGUUUCCAAAUGCAAGCUUUGAACUGUACCCAAAAUUUUUGUGGAUAGCGUGUUGAAAAGCUCAGGUCAUUUGAAUCCAGUGGUGGUGUGCUUAAGCGCUUAACCAGCUCUUUGCUGUCCCUGCAUUGAGAAACGACCAUAGAAGAUUCUGGAAUAUGUAGGUCAUAUUGGCUUAUGUAAGCUGAUGUCUUCUCAGGCACAAAUUCUUCCAAUCCGAAGCCAUUGCCAAAAAAGAGAUACCUUGAGAGAUUUGUCUAAUUUUCCAGAGAGAGCUUUCAAGAAGGUGGUUUUUCCACAUCCUGGAAGUCCAAGUACCAGAGUCAUCCUGUAAACAAUACACACCUCGGCGAAGGUUAUCACUUUCAAUAUUCUUGAUGAGAUUUUCGAUGAGCAAGUGCCUCUCCAGUGCUCCAAGUUUGGUGACAUCAAUUACCUUCCUUUUGUUUUGUUCUCCAGAGCCAUUGUCACCAUCCCAAUGAUCAAAAACUGAUGUUCUCACUCGUUCGAAGUUCGAAAUGAUGACCUCAUGCUCCUUCCUAUCUCUGCUAGUUCAGCAUCCAGCGACUCGGUUAUGUUUUCGCCCAACUGAGCCAUCCUUUAAAAUGUUUCGGUGCAACAAUUUUGCAUACCAAAGGAUCAGCUUUUAUAGAAGGCGAUCGACUCAGGUCGAAAUGUGCAGUUAACAUCAGGUACUGUCCCAACUGUUAGUGUUUCAACUGUGUUCGAGUCUCCUAAUAGUCUAUCUUUGACCACUACUUAAUUAGUAUUACUCAGUCAGUCCAUAUGCAAGCCCAUAGAAUAGAAACAAAAGAAAUGCUUCUAUAUCUGUCAGAUUAGCUUGUCGGAUGAUUAUGACAAUACUCGCAACCAUACUAAGCAAAGGUUUUACUUGGUAUUUUUGUGUGUAAAAUAGGUUUGAAAAUACAAGCUUAAUCUGUGGUUUUUCCAUCGUUAGUGGUUUGUUGUUAGUAGUUUGUUGCUGAUCAGCAAAAGGGCAAUUAAUACCUUGACCCUUCUGCCACUGGUACCUGAUGGUUGAUCUAACACCAACCAUCAUUUAUGAACUUGUUCUUGAUAGGGAUGCUGAUGCAAAUUAAAAAUAAUGUUCUCUAGGGAUAUCAAUGUGAUAUGCCAUUUACUGCAUAUAAAUUAGAUAUAAGCACAAUUGUCAAAAGAAAUAAGAGUGAUAUGGAAUAAUCACACAAGUGAAUGGCACA